GGGAGUUCUGCCAGUGGACUGCAGAGCGCCGACAUCGACCCUGCCCUGGUUCUCCAGCCUGCCGCCUACCCUCCCAACCGCAACAAUUUCCUGCCAUCUGCAAGCCGGAGACCCAGGAAAACUGGUGGUGUAAAUCAGUUGGUGUCCCAAGGCCCGAGAACCAUGGAAGCCCAGGGCAGAAGACAGAUUCCCCAGCUCAAGCAACUGGACUUGCCUCAUGGGUGUGUCGUGGUGGAAAUAAAAGUGUAAAGGCAAUAAUGCCAAAUGAUGACACUCAACCCUGAAAUAGGCAGGCCAUGAGGCAUGUGGGAUCUUAGCUCCCUGACCAGGGAUAGAACCCACACUCCCUGCAUUGGAAGGUGAAGUCUUAACCACUGGACCACCAGGGAAGUCCCCACCAAAUCAUUCUUAAGCUAUGGGCUCUGAAGAAAAAGUAUAGGAGGCUUAAAUUGAGUCAUUUUUUUUGAGGAAGGAAGGAACUAAAGAAAGGAGGAAGGAUCCAGUGUGGGCGGAGACAAGAUGGCAAAGUAGAAAGACAUGAGCUCACCUCUUCCUACAGAAACACCCAAAUCACAACUAACUGCUGAACAACCAUUGACAAAAAAAUGCUGGAACCUACCAGAAAGGAUAACCUACAUCCAAAGACAAAGGAGAAGCCACAGUGAGACAGUAGGAAGGGUAUAACCAUGAUAAAAUCAAAUCCCAUACCUGGGGGGGUGGGCAACCCACAAACUGGAAAAUAAUUAAACCACAGAAAUUCUCCGACAGGAGUGCAAGUUCUGGGCACCACGUCAGGCACCCCAGCCUGUGGGUCUGGCAAUGGUAGGAGGAGCCUCCAGAGAAUGUGGCUUUGAAGGCCAGCAGGGUAAGAUUUCAGGAAUUCCACAGGAUUGGGGGAAAGAGAAACUCUACUCUUGGAGGGUGCACACAGGGUCUUGUGGGCACCAGGACCCAGAGAAAAAAGGGGUGACCUCAUAAGAGACUGGGUCAGACCUACCCGCUAGUAUUGGAGGGUCUCCUGUGGAGAUGGGGGUGGCUCUGGCACAGUGUGGGGACACUGGUGGCAGUAGUUCUGGAGAGUACUCAUUGGCAUGAGCCCUCCUAGAGGCCACCCCUUCUCACCAAGACCUGUCCCCACCCAACAGCCUGUAGGCUCCAGUGCUGGGAUGCCUCAGGCCAAACAACCAACAGGGCAGGAACACAGCCCUACCCUUCAUCAGACAGGCUGCUUGAAGUCUUCCUGAGCAUACAGCUGCCCAAUAAACACCCUGUAAUAUGGCCCUACCUGCUGGAGGGACAGACCCAGCUCCACCCACCGGUGGACAGGAACCAGUCCUUUCCACAAGGGGGCAGACAGCAGAAGCACAAAGAAAUACAACCCUGCAGAAUGGAAACUGCAAUCAGAAAGUUAGUUAGACAAAAUGAGACAGCAGAGGAAUAUGUCCUAGAGGAAGGAACAAGAUAAAACCUCAGAAGGGCAACUAAGUGGAGUGGAGAUAGGCAAUCUACCUGAAACAGAUUCAGAGUUAUGAUAGUAAAGAUGCUCUAAGAUCUCAAAAAAGAAUGAAGGUACAGAUUGAGAAGAUGCAAGAAAUGUCUAACAAAGAACUAGAAGAUAUAAAGAACAAACAAACAGGGAUGAACAAUACAAUAACUGAAAUGAAGAAUACACUAGAAGGCAUCAAUAGCAGAAUAACUGAGGCAGAAGAACGGAUAAGUGACCUGGAAGACAGAAUGGUGGAAAUCACUGCUGCAGAACAGAAUAAACAUAAAAGAAUGAAAAGAAAUGAGGACAGUCUAAGAGGCCUCUGGGACAACAUUAAAUGCACCAACAUUUGCAUUAUAGGGGUCUUAGAAGGAGAAGAGAAAGAGAAAAUAUUUGAAGAGAUAAUACUGAAAACUUUCCUAACAUGGGAAGAAUAACAGUCACCCAAGUCCAGGAAGCAGAGUCCCUGAUAGAAUAAACCCGAGGAGAAACAUGCCGAGACACAUAGGAAUCAAAUUGACAAAAAUUAAAGACAAAGUAUUAAAACCAACAAGGGAAAAGCACAAACAUACAAGGGAAUCCCCAUACGAUCAUCAGCUGAUUUCUCAGCAGGAACUCUGCAGGCCAGAAGGCAGUGCAUGAAAUAUUUAAAGUGAUAAAAGGGAAGAACCUACAACCAAGAAUACUGUACCUAGCAAGGCUCUCCUUCAGAUUCGACAGAUAAAUCAAAAGCUUUACAGACAAGCAAAAGCUAAGAGAAUUCAGCACUACCCAACCAGCUUUGCAACAAAUGCUAAAGGAACUUCUCUAGGCAGAAAAGAAAAGGCCACAAUUAGAAACAAGAAAAUUACGAAUGGAAAAGCUCACUGGUAAAGGCAGAUAUACAGUAAAGGUAGCAAAUCAUUUUCACACAAAUAUGAUAUCAAAAACAGCAACUGUGAGAAGAGGAGAGCACAAAUGCAGGAUAUUGUAAAUGCAUUUGAAAUUAAAAGACCAGCAACUUAAAAACAAUCUUGUUUAUAUAUAGACUGCUAUAGCAAAACCCCAUGGUAACCACAAGCUGAAUAUAUACAAUAGAUACACACACAAAAAAGAAAAAAAAUCCAAACACAACACUAAGGUUAGUCCUCAAAUCACAAAAGAAGAGAACAAAGGAGGAAGGGAAGAAAAAAGACCUACAAAAACAAAUCCAAAACAAUUAACCAAGUGGCAAUAAGAACAUACAUAUCAACAAUUACCUUAAACAUAAACAGAUUAAAUGCUCCAACCAAAAGACAUAGACUGGCUGAAUGGAUACAAAACAAGACCCGUAUACAUGUUGUCUAUAAGACACCCACUUCAGACCUAGGGACACAUACAGACUGAAAGUGAGGGGAUGGAAAAAGGUAUUCCAUGCAAGUAGAAAUCAAAAGAAAGCUGGAGUAGCAAUACUCAUAUCAGACAAAGUAGACUUUAAAAUAAAGACUGUUACAAGAGACAAAGAAGGACACAAGAUAAUGAUCAAGGGAUCAAUCCAAGAAGAAGAUAUAACAUUUGUAAAUAUAUAUGCACCCAACAUAGCAUUUGCCUAAUAUACUGAGGUGCUCCUAACAGCCAUAAAAAAGAAACUGACAGUAACACAAUAAUAAUGGGGGACUCUCACACCCCACUUUCAUCAAUGGACAGAUCAUCCAGACAGAAAAUCAUUACGGAAACACAGGCCUUAAAUGACACAUUAGACCAGAUGGAUUAACUGAUAUUUAUAGAUCAUUCCAUCCAAAAGCAGCAGAAUACAUAUUCUUUUCAAGUGCACAUGGAACAUUAUCCAAGAUUGAUCACAUGCUGGGCCAAAAAGCGAGCCUCGGUAAAUUUAAGAAAAUUGAAAUCAUAUCAAGCAUCUUUUCUGACCACAACACUAUGAGAUUAGAAAUCAACUACAAGGAAAAAAAACACAAACAUGUGGAGGCUAAACAAUACGCUACUAAAUAACCAAGGGAUCACUGAAGAAAUCAGAGGAAAUCAAAAAAUACCUAGAGACAAAUGAAAAUGAAACCACGAAGACCUGAAACAUAUGGGACACAGCAAAAGCAGUUCUAAGAGGGAAGUUUAUAGCAAUACAGUCUUACUUCAGGAAAAACCUCAAAUAAACAACUUAACCUUACACUUAAAGCAACUAGAGAAAGGAGAACAAACAAAACCCAAAGUUAGUAGAAGGAAAGAAAUCAUAAAGAUCAGAGCAGAAGUCAAUGAAAUAGAGAUGAAGAAAACAAUAGAAAAGAUCAAUGAAAUUAAAAGCUAGUUCUUUGAGAAGAUAAACAAAAUUGAUAAACCUUUAGCCAGACUCAUUAAGAAAAAGAGGGAGAGAGCUCAAAACAAUAAAAUUAGAAAUGAAAAAGGAAAAGUUAUGACACCACAGAAAUAAAGAAUCAUAAGAGACUACUUACAAGCAACUAUAUGCCAAUAAAAGGAAAACCUAGAAGAAAUGGACAAAUUCUUGGAAAGGUAUAACCUCCCAAGACUGAACCAGGAAGAAAUAGAAAAUACGAACAGACCAAUCACAAGUAAUGAUAUUGAAACUGUAAUUAAAAAUCUUCCAACAAACAAAAGUCCAAGACCAGAUGGCUUCACAGGUGAAUUCUAUCAAACACUUAGAAAAGAGUUAAUACCUAUCCUUGUGAAACUAUUCCAAAAAAUUUCAGGGGAAGGAACACUCCCAAAUUCAUUCUAUGAGGCCACCAUCACCCUGACACCAAAUCCAGACAAAGAUACCACAGAAAAUAAAAUUACAGGCCAAUAUCCCUGAUGAUCAUAGACACAAAAAUCUUCAACAAAAUACUAGCAAACGAAAUCCAACAAUAUGUUAAAAGAAUCAUGCACCAUGAUCAAGUGGGAUUUAUCCCAGGAAUGCAAGGAUUCUUCAAUAUAUGCAAAUCAGUCAAUGUGAUACACCACAUUAACAAACUGAAGAAUAAAAACCAUAUGAUCAUCUCAAUAGAUGCAGAAAAAGCUUUUGACAAAAUUCAACACCCAUGUAUGAUAAAAAUUCUCCAGAAAGUGGGCAUAGAGGGAACCUACCUCAACAAAAUAAAGGCCAUAUAUGACAAACUUACAGCUAACAUAAUGCUCAAUGGUGAAAAACUGGAAGUAUUUCCUCUAAGAUCAGGAACAAGACAAAGAUGUCCACUAUCACCACUUUUAUUCAACAUAGUUUUGGAAGUCCUAGCCACAGCAAUCCGAGAAGAAAAAGAAAUAAAGGGAAUCCAAAUUGGAAAAGAAGAAGUAAAACUGUCAGUGUCUGCAGGUGACAGAAAAUCCUAAAGAUGCUACUAGAAAACUACUAGACUCAUCAAUGAAUUCGGUAAUGCAGGAUAUAAAAUAUAGACAUAAAAGUCUAUUGCAUUUCUAUACACUAACAACAGUAGUUCAGAAAGAGAAAUUAAAGAAGUGAUCCCAUUUACCACCACAUCAGAAGAAUAAAACACCUAGGAAUAAGCCUACCUAAGGAGGCAAAAGAUAUGUACUCUGAAAACUUUAAUAUGCUGAUGAAAGAAAUCAAACACGACACAAACAGAUGGAAGGAUAUACCACGUUCUUGGAUUGGAAGAAUCAAAACUGUCAAAAUGACUAUACUACCCAAGUCAAUCUACAGAUUCAAUGCAAUCCCUAUCAAAUUACCAAUGGCAUUUUUCACACAACUAGAACAAAAAAUCUUAAAAUUUGUAUGGAGACACAAAAGACCCUGAAUAACCAAAGCAAUCUUGAGAAAGAAAAAUGGAGCUGGAAGAAUCAGGCUCCUGGACUUCAGAUUAUACUACAAAACUACAGUCAUGAAAAUAGUAUGGUACUGGCACAAAAACAGAAAUACAGAUCAAUGGAACAGGAUACAAAGUCCAGAGAUAAACCCAUGCACCUGUGCUCAAUUAAUCUGUGACCAAGAAGGCAAGGAUAUACAAUGGAGAAAAGACAGUCUCUUCAGUAAAUGGUGCUGGAAAUGUUGGACAGCUACAUGUAAAAAAAUGAAAUUAGAACAUUCUUCAAUACCAUACACAAAAAUCAAUUCAAACUGGAUUAAAGACCUAAAUAUAAGACCAACUACUAUCAAACUCUUGGAGAAAAAUAAAGGCAGAGCGCUCUUUGACAUAAAUCACAGCAAGAUCUUUUUUGAUCCCUCUCCUAGAGUAGUGGAAAUAUAAACAAAAAUAAACACAUGGGACCUAAUUAAACUCAAAGCUUUCUCACAGCAAAGGAAACCAGAAGGAAAACGAAAAGACCAUCCACAGAAAGGGAGAAAAUAUUUGCAAACGAUGCAACCGACAAGGGAUUAAUCUCUAAAAUUUACAAACAUCUCAUGUGGCUUAAUAUUAAAGAAAAAAUUUUAAAAAUGGGCAGAAGACCUAAAUAAACAUUUCUCCAAAGAAGACAUACAGAUGGUCAAAAAGCACACAAUAAGAUGCUCAACAUCGCUAAUUAUUAGAGAAAUGUAAAUCAAAACUACAGUGAGUAUCACCUCACAAUGGUCAGAAUGGCCAUCACCAAAAAGUCUACAAACAGUAAAUGCUGGAGAGGGUGUGGAGAAAAGAGAACCCUCAUAUGCUGUUGAUGGGAAUGUAAACUGGUACAGCCACUAUGGAGAACAUUAUGGAAGUUCCUUAAGAAACUAAAAAUAGAGCUACCAUAUGAUCUAACAAUCCCACUCUGGGUAUGUAUCUGGAGAAAACCAUGGUUCGAAAGGAUACAUGGACCCCAAUGUUCAUUGCAGCACUGUUUACAGUAGUCAGGACAUGGAAGCAGCCUAAAUGUCCAUCGACAGACAAAUGGAUAAAGAAUAUGUGGUACAUAUAUAUAUAUAUACAAUGGAAUAUUACUCAGCCAUUACAAAGAAUGAAAUAAUGGCAUUUGCAGAAACAUGGAUGGACCUGGAGACUAUCAUACUAAGGGAAAUAAGACAGACAAAGACAAAUAUCAUAUGAUACCGCUUAUAUGGGGAAUCUUAAAAAAAAUGAUACAAUUGAACUUAUUUACACAACAGAAACAGUCUCACAGACUUAGAGAAUGAACUUAUGGUUACUGGCGGGAAAGGAUGAGUGGGGAGGGAUCAAUAUGGAAUUUGGGAUUGACAUGUACACACUGCUAUAUUUAAAAUAGGUAACCAACAAGACCUACUGUAAUGCAAGGGAACUCUGCUCAAUACUCUGCAAUAACUUAAAUGGGAAAAGAAUUUGAAAAAGAAUAGAUACAUGUAUAUGUAUAACUGAAUCACUCUGCUGUACACUGAAAACUUACACAACAUUGUUAAUCAACUAUACUCCAAUAUAAAAUAAAAAUUAAAAAAAAUGGAAGGAUUAGGGCAUAAGAAUUCUGGAACCAUUAAAUCAGAUGAUAUGUAUCUUAAAAAGAGUCACUUUUUCCUUACAAUUAUUUACGAGUAGUUUAACAUGUUGUUGUUAAAUAAAAGACAAUUAAAGACUGAAGGGAAAAACUGCCCUAUACCACAAAAUGCACCAAGAAAAGGCAUGAUUUUUUUCUUGGAAACAUACAUUAUUUUCCCUAGGAUUAUUCCAAAUGAGCAAAAGAUGUCAUUACUUGAAUCAGGUCCUUCCAAAGUAUGCCAUACUAAAUCCUAUUGAAAAUUACAUUUCAAAUCAAAUCACUUAUAUAAGUCACACUGAAUAACAGACCAGAUAAGUUAUAGAUUAAUCAGAUCAGAUAAAAAGCCAUUGAUAGCUUUUCACAAUAAAAUUAUAAGAAGAUGACUAAGAAAUUGUGAGAGGCUAGGGUAGGUAUUACCUGGCUCUUGUAUAAAGACCUUAAAACAAACAUGCAUGGUUCUUUCAUUUAAAAAUCCAACCUUUUCCCCAAUAAGUAAUGUAAGGAAUUGAAAUUAUGUUUAAAAACUGACUUAUUUACAUAAAAACAAAACUUAAAGGGAAGCUAGCCUUCUUGUGGGACAAUUUCUAGGUGUUAUGUUUUGGCUGAAUUACUUAGUUGACUUUCUCUGGUCAGUAAGAUGUUGGCAAUAAAACAUGUCAAAAAGAAAUUGCCCAUUUAUUUCAUAUUCUGCAAUUCACUCAAAUUGGCGGCACUUUUUCUUUUUUUUAAACAUGAUAGAAAAAUCUAAUUCUUAAAUUAUCCUUCUUAUACCCAAGACGAUGUAAACAUAUUAUGUCACCUCAGAAAAGCAAUUCACAUAUUUGGAGUUUCUUUUUUAAAACAAGGAACAGUUGUUGAAAGUUCUGAAGUUUGAAUUUUAUAAAUCUCUGAUUAAAACUGAAAGUGUAUAGCCAUCCAUAACCACAGCAAAAAGUGAGGUAAAUUACUUUGUAUAAAGUGAGGCAGCACAGGGAUAAUAUUCAGAUAGGUAAGUAAAAGAAAAUCCUUUUCUUCCUGCUUCUCUCACACUUCAAAAGUAAAAUAAGUUUAAGAUAAACUGCAUUUAUAUCAUCAUUACCAUGAUUAAUUAUAUUUAAUCAUUUAAUGCAUGAAUCACAUCUUAAAGUUCUUUGGGUGCUAGAAAAUCUUAUUAAGUGUAAUUUGUAUAUAUCCUAGAAAAAUUAUUCAUGAAUUUCUUUUUUUAUAUCACACUUAUAGCCUUUCCAUUGGACUUUAUUCUAUUUUGAUAUAUAUCAAGAUAUAGAUCUAUCAUUUUGCUAAUUCACUACAUUUUACUUCAACAUUUCUGUUUUAAAUUUUAGAGAAAUGCAUUUGAAAACUCAUUUCAAAACUACCAUGGUAUUAAAAGUGAUAUACCAUGGAUCACCAAAGUGGAUUUUGCUUUCCUAUAUUUAUUUUACUAUUUUUUGAUAUUCACAUAUUCAAAAUUUAUAAUUAUUUACAUUAUAUGUAAUUGUUUACAUCUAGGAAAUCAUUACAAUAUUACUAGUUUUAUCAGAAAGAAUGAUAUCAAGAAUGCACUUAAUUUUGUUUAAUAAAAACAAUUAUUACUAACAAAUAAUAGCUAUGUAAGGAAAUAUAUGUCAUAAUUAAGUUGUGAGAAGAUUGGAAAGAAAUGCACUAAUGAGAUUAAGCUCUGUUUUAAUGCCUGCAGAUGGCUGCCAUUUUUUAAUAAUUCUAAUUUAAUGACUAUAAACAAACCAAGCAUAUUGAUUCUGCUUAAAAUUUUGUUCAAAGUGAAAAAAAAUUUGUAUCACAUACAGAGAACGUGAGGUAAUUU